GCUACCAUGCAAGUCGAGCGGGAUAUACCGGUUUAGUUUACUAAGCUGGUAAAUUCAGCGGCGGACGGGUGAGUAACGCGUGAGCAAUCUGCCUUGUACAGGGGGAUAACAGCCGGAAACGGCUGCUAAUACCGCAUAAGGCCACAGUACCGCAUGGUACAGGGGUCAAAGGAGAGAUCCGGUAUAAGAUGAGCUCGCGUUCCAUUAGCUGGUUGGUGAGGUAACGGCCCACCAAGGCAACGAUGGGUAGCCGGCCUGAGAGGGUGAACGGCCACAUUGGGACUGAGACACGGCCCAAACUCCUACGGGAGGCAGCAGUGGGGGAUAUUGCGCAAUGGGGGAAACCCUGACGCAGCAACGCCGCGUGAGUGAAGGAGGCCUUCGGGUCGUAAAACUCUGUGACAGGGGAAGAAGAAAGUGACGGUACCCUGAGAGGAAGCCCCGGCUAACUACGUGCCAGCAGCCGCGGUAACACGUAGGGGGCAAGCGUUGUCCGGAAUUACUGGGCGUAAAGGGUGCGUAGGCGGCCGAGCAAGUCCGAUGUGAAAGACCACGGCUAAACUGUGGGGGUACAUAGGAAACUGUCCGGCUUGAGUGCAGGAGAGGAAAGUGGAAUUCCUAGUAUAGCGGUGAAAUGCGUAGAGAUUAGGAAGAACACCAGUGGCGAAGGCGACCUUCUGGACUGUAACUGACGCUGAGGCACGAAAGCGUGGGGAGCGAACAGGAUUAGAUACCCUGGU
rnacentral:rRNA from 1 species